rnacentral:rRNA from 1 species
CCUACGGGAGGCUGCAGUGAGGAAUAUUGGUCAAUGGGCGUAAGCCUGAACCAGCCAAGCCGCGUGAGGGAUGACGGUUCUCUGGAUCGUAAACCUCUUUUAUAAGGGAGUAAAGGGUGGUACGUGUCCUGUUUUGUAUGUCCCUUAUGAAUAAGGAUCGGCUAACUCCGUGCCAGCAGCCGCGGUAAUACGGAGGGUGCAAGCGUUGUCCGGAAUCAUUGGGCGUAGAGAGUUCGUAGGCUGCAUGUAAAGUCAGAUGUGAAAGGCGCAGGCUUAACCUGUGUAUGGCACUUGAUACUUGCAAGCUUGAAUGCGGUAGAGGUAGACGGAAUUCCUGGUGUAGCGGUGAAAUGCUUAGAGAUCAGGAGGAACAUCGGUGGCGAAAGCGCUUUACUGGGCCGUAAUUGACGCUGAGGAACGAAAGCCAGGGUAGCAAACAGGAUUAGAUACCCUAGUAGUC